rnacentral:misc_RNA from 1 species
GAUGAAGAACGUAGCGAAAUGCGAUACUUGGUGUGAAUUGCAGAAUCCCGCGAAUCAUCGAGUUUUUGAACGCAAGUUGCGCCCGAAGCCAUUCGGCCGAGGGCACGUCUGCCUGGGUGUCACGCAUCGUUGCCCCCCCAAACUCCGGUUCGGGCGGGGCGGAAGUUGGCCUCCCGUGCGUGCCUGCGCGCGCGGUUAGCCCAAAAGCGAGUCCUCGGCGACGAGCGCCACGACAAUCGGUGGUUUUUUUACCCUCGUUCCUCGUCGUGCGUGUCCCGUCGCCCGAACGCGCUCUUGUGACCCUCACGCGUCGCCUCGGCGGCGCUCCCAACGCGACCCCAGGUCAGGCGGGACUACCCGCUGAGUUUAAGCAUAUCAAUAAGCGGAGGU